AGUACACUGGAAUGUCGAUGUCGUUUACUUUGAAGCAACCGUCGUAGCGAAGACAAUGGCCAUUGCCACCGCAGUGAUCCCUUUGAAGCUCAUCACCAGUCGCAGGCUUCAACCUAAAAAUCAUACUUCAUUUCUUGCUCAAAAUCGGCCCUUCAAGGUCUCAUGCUGUGUUCUUCACAAUCCAAGCUCUCUCCAUACUCAUUGUCAGAAACUCGUCAAUGAAUUUGACCCUCGUAUUCCGAUAGAGAAAACCCUGACUCCACCCAGAUCCUGGAUACACUGAACAGAUAAAGGAUCCUCGUGGCUUUUUCACAGUAAGGUUCUUAGAAGAAGAAAGGGAAAUGCUUGAAUAUGACUUCCAUUUGUAUGCAUUUCAACCAAUCUUUUUCCCCGUUUUCUGAGAACCUAAUGGAGGAUUAACUCUGGCAGAUUCGGAAAUAUAGAAUUUCUUGUGUGUUGAGAUGAUGAUGGCAAGGUUCAUGCGUUUCACAAUGUGUGCAGCCAUCAUGGCUCUCUUCUUGCAUCGGGAAGUGGGAAAAAGUCUUGCUUUGUAUGCCCUUACCAUGGGAUUUUAUUUGUGCUGCUUCAUGCAAACAUUUUGGAAUUCCCUCAGCCCUUUUUCUUGCAUUUUUUUGAUCUUGAUCAUAAACAAAGAAUAGUAUAGGUUCAGCUAUAUAUAUCUCUUGCAAUAGUGCUUUGUGAUUCACCACAUUGUUAAUAAAGAGGAUAUGGCAAAUUCAUAUCAUAGGUAAAUGAUGAUCAAAGUUUAAUGAUCUGGAUACAUGGGUUACAAGGCCUCA